GGUGCUGGUGGUGGUGGUGGACCGCGGUUCGAUAACCGACGAAUCGCAUCGUUGCAAACCGGCCUGGACCGCAUCGUCGGAUACGCGUGCUCUCCUUCAAAAACGGAAGGAGGAAAAAGAGAAACAUCAUUCUGCCUGUUUCCUCGUGGCCAACUCGACAACAAAAGGAUCGACAACGAGUGACCCGGCAUAAAGUUCGAGAGCGCACAACUAACGUGCAAAUACGAAGUGAAUAUUUUUCAAGAAAUUUCCUCACCGUCCUUUGGUCCAAUCAUAAAAAGAAGAAAUCUCGUCGAUGGACGACGUCACAUUGUUGAAUCUUCGAGGAACAAGAAAAGAAACAAGAAAAAUCCGUCGUUGAUUUUUAGUUUAUAUCCAAAAGAUAUUAUUCAGGAUAUCGAAAAAAAAAGGAGGAAAAAAGAAAAGAAACAAGAUUGAAGAAUAAAAACAAGAACAAGAAGAAUAAGAAAGAAGAAAUCAAAUUAGCUGCUUGUCAUAUUGACUUGUGUUGGUGAAUAUUAUAAAAUAAAUAUAUAUAUAUAUAUAUACGUGUGUGUACGAUAUGUUCGAAGGAAGACAAAUUCGUUGUCUUGAUACUUCGUUGAAAAAGAGAUUGAAAUAGAAAAAAAAGAGAAGAAAAAAGAAAAGGAGGAGAAAGAGAAGGAGAAAAAGAAGAAGAGUCGAGCUCGGAUAGAAACGUUUCUAAUCUCAUUUCUAAUCGAGGAAGAAACGAGGAUCGAGUUUUGCGAUGCCACGAAAGUGGUGUGCAAAGGAUCGUGCGUUAAAAAGGAUCAUCACACACCGUGGAUACACGUGAGGGAGCUUGUUCGAUUAAAAGAAGAUCUAGCAAACGAAAGUGAGAGAUAGAAAGAGAGAGAGAGAGAGAGAGAGAGAGAGAGAAAGAGAGAGAGAAGGAGAAAGAGAAACAGAGAGAGAAACAGAAACUCGCCCUGAAUUUAAACGAGAAAACAAGUCCUUUUUGAUCUCUAGCCAAUAAGAUUUCUCAAGCUUUUGCGUUAGGAUCUUUGGCAAACGUCACGAAAAAAAGAAAAAGACAGAGACAGAGAGAGAGAGAGAGAGAGAGAGAGAGAGAGAGAGAGACAAGGACGAUGAAACACAGUCGAUAAACGCGCAUUUCGCGCUUUUAUUCAUUAUUUCUCUAUCCACUUUCUUUCCUUCUUCCUCAUUUUCUUUCCCUACUUCUUCUUCUUCUUCUUCUUCUUCUUCUUCUUCUUCUUCUUCUUUCGUUUCUGCUUCUUAGUUUAGUUUAGUUUUAUUUUAUUUUGUUUUGUCUUUUAUUUAAUUUUUUCUUUAAUUUUUCUUCGUUUUUUAUUGAUUGAUUAUUCAUGAUCUAUGAGGCGAACGAUGACUCCAUCGAUCACAAAGAAGAUAAAGACGUGCCAAUGUUAACGAGUAUUUUAUCAAAUCAGAAAAUCUUCCUUUAUCUUUGAUCAUUUAUCGAAAGAUCGAAGUUAAAGAUUUAAAGGGAAACUGAGAUAAUAUUUGGUGACUAUUAUAUUAUAGAUAAUAAGCGAUAUGUGUUACGAGUGGAUGAUCCAUCUUGAAUAUAGACCGGCCUUGAAAAUUACAGAUUAAUGAAUUCUCCUCUUCCUCUCUCUUUUUCUCUCUUUUUUAUUUUGUCCCUCAUUUCACUUAUUUUUGUUCUUCUUUUUCUUGUUCUUCUUAUUCUUCUGCUUAUUCUUCUUGUUCUAUACAUUUUUCAAAUAUUCUUUUGGAGAGGACGAAGAGAAGAAAGAGCACUCAAUUAAGGUCAUUGAUUCGUUCGAAAACAUUUCGUUGGAGUCCCGCAGAUGGGAGCUCGGUUGGCUGGACCCGACGGGGUUGUGAAAAUCCUCACGAGAAGAGAUCGAAUCGUAGAAGUCUUGAAAGGACAUAUCGUUCGAGUAUCAACGCUCGUAGUAGUACCUUUGGUACUACUUUUAGCGUUUCUAGAUCCUCGUUAUCGUCCACCAUCUCGAUCCUCGUACCGAGCUUAUCCUAGCUCACCCUUCUCCCUCCUGAUUCGGCCGCGAAAACUCGAUCAAGCUGGAAUUGAUGGAGUUGGAGAACAUCGUGGCCAACACUGUGUACCUCAAAGCGAGAGAAGGCGGUGGUGACAGCAACAAAGGAAAGAGUAAGAAAUGGCGGAAGAUACUUCAGUUUCCACACAUUUCCCAAUGCAUCGGCCUAAAAGAUAAAUUGGACAUUAGGUACGGGUAUGUGGUGGAUCAACAACCAAUCGGAAGACUUCUCUUCAGGCAAUUUUGCCAGAACAAGAAACCGGCCUAUCAUCGAUACAAUCUUUUUUUGGAUGCUAUUGAAAAAUACGAGAUCGAGAUGGAUGAAAAUCGUAUGGAACUAGCAAAGGAAUUAUUCGAACAGUACCUGAAACGUGAAGGCUCCGAAGUGGUUGAUAUUUUGAACGAUUCAUUGAUAUCACAAUGCGAGGAGAGAUUAAGCUCCGGUGGAAAAGAAUUGUUCGUUGAGAUCGCACAAACGG